GACGAACGCUGGCGGCGUGCUUAACACAUGCCAGUCGAACGGAAAGGCCUGCUUUCCCUUGUGGAUUGCGGGUACUCGAGUGGCGAACGGGUGAGUAACACGUGAGUGAUCUGCCCCCAACUUGGGUAUAAGCCUGGGGAACUGGGUCUAAUUCCCGAUAGGACUGCAGGGUGGUGCCUGUGGUGGAAAACGAUUUUCUAGUGGUUGGGGAUGAGCUCGCGGCCUAUCAGCUUGUUGGUGGGGUAAUGGCCUACCAAGGCGGCGACGGGUAGCCGGCCUGGGGGGGUGGACGGCCACAUUGGGACUGAGAUACGGCCCAGACUCCUACGGGAGGCAGCAGUGGGGAAUAUUGCACAAUGGGCGGAAGCCUGAUGCAGCGACGCCGCGUGGGGGAUGACGGCCUUCGGGUUGUAAACUCCUUUCGACCGCGAGGAAGCCACCUGGUUGGAAGGGUGGUGACGGUAGUGGUAGAAGAAGCACCGGCUAACUACGUG
rnacentral:rRNA from 1 species